AUCUAGCCCCGAUCGAAGUGAAAAUCCUUGUGAGCCGGGGUUCGGCUCACAAGAUUGCAACGAAGAGCGGGACAACUG
rnacentral:sRNA from 1 species